rnacentral:rRNA from 1 species
AGAGUUUGAUCAUGGCUCAGGCUGAACGCUGGCAGUAUGGAUAAGGCAUGCAAGUCGAACGGUCUCUUUUUUUCACUUGGUAGCAAUAUUAAGCGAGUUAAAGAGAUAGUGGCAAAUGGGUUAGUAACACGUUGGAAAUCUACCCAGAAGUGGGGAAUAAUCCGCCGAAAGGCGGACUAAUACCCCAUAGUCCCUCCCCGCGAAAGCGGGGUUGGUAAAGAUUUAUCGCUUCUGGAAGAUCCUGCGUCCUAUCAGCUAGUUGGUGAGGUAUGGCCCACCAAGGCUACGACGGGUAGGGGGUGUGAGAGCAUGACCCCCAACACUGGAACUGCGACACGGUCCAGACACCUACGGGUGGCUGCAGUCGAGAAUCUUCGGCAAUGCACGAAAGUGUGACCGAGCGAUACUGCGUGCAGGAAGAAGGCCUUCGGGUUGUAAACUGCUGUCGUGUGGGAAGAACGUUGACGGUACCACACAAGAAAGGGGCGCCUAACUCUGUGCCAGCAGGCGCGGUAAUACAGAGGCCCCAAGCGUUAGCCGGAUUUAUUGGGCGUAAAGGGUCCGCAGGCGGAAUAGUGCGUCUUCUGUGAAAUCCUAUGGGCUCAACCCAGAGGCUGCAGUGGAUACGACUAUUCUUGAAGCAAGGAGAGGUAAGUGGAAUUCCUAGUGGAGCGGUGAAAUGCGUUGAUAUUAGGGAGAACACCAAUUGCGAAGGCAGCUUACUGGCCUUGUCUUGACGCUCAUGGACGACAGCGUGGGGAGUGAACGGGAUUAGAUACCCCGGUAAUCCAUGCCGUAAACGAUGCAAACUAGGCAUUGGGAGUAUCGACUCUCUCAGUGUCGAAGCUAACGCGUUAAGUUUGCCGCCUGGGUAGUACGGCCGCAAGGCUAAAACUCAAAGGAAUAGACGGGGGCCCGCACAAGCGGUGGAGCGUGUGGUUUAAUUCGAUGCUAAACGAGGAACCUUACCUAGAUUAGAAAUCCAACUGUAUGCCAGCAGAAACGUUGGCAGCUUCGAGAUCGUUGGACAGGUGCUGCAUGGUUGCCGUCAGCUCGUGUUGUGAAAUGUUCCCUUCAGUGGGGUAACGAGCGCAACCCUUAUCGUGUGUUGAUUUUCACGCGAGACUGCCGUGGUUAACACGGAGGAAGGUGGGGACGACGUCAAAUCAGCAUGGCCCUCUGAUAUCUAGGGCUACACACGCGCUACAAUGGGUAGGACAAUGAGAUGCGACUUCGCGAGAAGAAGGAAUCUCCAAACCUAUCCUCAGUUCGGAUUGGAGUCUGCAAUUCGACUCCAUGAAGCUGGAAUCGCUAGUAACCGUAAAUCAGCUCGUUACGGUGAAUACGUUCUCGGGCUUUGUACUCACCGCCCGUCAACUCAGAAGAGUUGAUAGUACCCGAAGACCCUGCACUUGCAGGGGCCACGGUAAGAUCAAUAAUUAGGAGUAAGUCGUAACAAGGUA